rnacentral:rRNA from 1 species
UACGUAGGGUGCGAGCGUUGUCCGGAUUUAUUGGGCGUAAAGAGCUCGUAGGCGGUUUGUCGCGUCGGCCGUGAAAUCUCCACGCUUAACGUGGAGCGUGCGGUCGAUACGGGCAGACUUGAGUUCGGUAGGGGAGACUGGAAUUCCUGGUGUAGCGGUGAAAUGCGCAGAUAUCAGGAGGAACACCGGUGGCGAAGGCGGGUCUCUGGGCCGAUACUGACGCUGAGGAGCGAAAGCGUAGGGAGCGAACAGG